rnacentral:tRNA from 1 species
UGGGCCGUGGUGCAAUUGGUAGCACGUCUGACUCUGGAUCAGAAGGUUCAAGGUUCGAGUCCUUGCGGCCCAG